CAUGUCUAUUUAUCUGCAAACUGUCAUUCUAGAGGUUGGGGGGAGGAUUGUGUUUUAGGGGAACGGGGUGCUUUUUUUUGAGUUACGGGGGUGCAGCCUCCCUCUGGCCGCAGUUGGAUAAGGGGGCAUCUGCUGUUUUUCGCCACCCGGGAUCCAGAGCCCCUUUCCCCAUCAUCCCCGCCAUGUCGUGGCUAAUAAAUGUUCAAUAAACACUUCACAAUC